rnacentral:rRNA from 1 species
UACGGGGGGAGCAAACGUUGUUCGGAAUCACUGGGCGUAAAGGGCGCGUAGGCGGCCAGAUAAGUGGGGUGUUAAAUCUCCCGGCUCAACGGCGACCUGCACCUCAUACUGCCUGGCUUGAGUACAGCAGAGGAGACUGGAAUUCCCGGUGUAGCGGUGAAAUGCGUAGAUAUUGGGAGGAACACCAGUGGCGAAGGCGGCUACCUGGACCGGUUCUGACGCUGAGGCGCGAAAGCGUGGGUAGCAAACAGG